CUCUGCCCCUCUAAACGCGAUCGUGGCAAUUAUGUAUCGAAAUAUGUUAAACGCGAACAUUCUGUACGAUUAUUAUAACUAGUGAUUAACGACUCGUGUUAAUGAAUGUGACAAUCAUUAAUAAUAGUCUCGACCAUGACGUCAUGAAUAACGGAAGUUAUUCGAAGCAGCCUUGCUACGACAAGCUGCGUGCGAGUUUGCCUACGUGAUCCUCGAAUAUCGAACGUAUCGUUGCUUUGUGCGAUUAUAGUUUUUGCGUCGUUUUGCGAUGUAUAUUAAAUCCUCAUCGGGAGUGUCGUCAAGUGUCGCGCGAUCGUAAUUAAUCAUGUUUUCGCGAGUACCGCGAGUGCUAAGAAGGAGAAGUAAUGCACGAGGAAGAGAGGAGGAGGGGGAAGAGGAGAACUGGGCAGUCAUCGAGCGACAAAGGAGCAACUAUGGGGUACCAGACAUUACGCAGUCAAGUAUUAAUUAGUAAUUGUCGUUCUACCAUUCCACCUGAUAGAAGUCACCGAUGGAAAAU